rnacentral:piRNA from 1 species
UGUAGAGACUUCCUGUCUUGGUGCAGCCC